UACGGCUAUAUCACUUUGAAACACUAGUUCAUAUACGAUCACCGAAGUUAAGCAACAUCGAGCCUGAUCAGUACCUAGAUAGCUGACCGCUUGGGAAUACCAAGUGGUGUAAU